AUAAUAAUGAAAACCAAAGGCGAAAUGAAAAGGGAAAAUAAAACGUAGUAAUAAAACUACAAAAUAAAGGCGAGGCUUACGCAGUGCCCCCACUGCCGCUAAACCGGUCAGCUCGGGUCUCCGUCCAACGCUCGGUUAUGCACUAUACACUGGGGUGGCCAAGGUUCCCCUUCUAGUCACACACAUUCCCUCAGAGAGAAAACCAACUCCUCCCUGCUCCUGGGGAAUGAAAGACUAAUCUUACUGCAGUUAUAAAGACUAAUCUCACCUCUGGUGGUACUGUUGAAGAGAUGGCCCUCACUCCAGGCGUACUAACAAUACACUGGGCCGGGACCAUAGCAGAGCACAGCCGAGGGUGAGGAGGAGCCGGAGACCGAAGCAGAGAAGGACGGCAGUGCUCGGGUGAAUCAAACGGUAGAAAGGGGAGCUCUAUCACCACAGUGGAAAGAAGGUGUGGGCCUUGUAAGAUUUGUGCUGAACUGAACCCAAGAAAACCGAACCAUGAGCACCUGCAACAGUUGCCUACUGCUAAACCACCCAGCUGCCCAUUUAUUUUGGCAA